rnacentral:rRNA from 1 species
GAUGAACGCUGACAGAAUGCUUAACACAUGCAAGUCAACUUGAACUUCGGUUUGGGUGGCGGACGGGUGAGUAACGCGUAAAGAACUUGCCUCACAGAUAGGGACAGCAUUUGAAAACGAAUGCUAAUACCUGAUAGUAUGAUUAGAUGGCAUCGGAUAAUUAUUAAAUCUAUAUGCGCUGUGAGAGAGCUUUGCGUCCCAUUAGCUAGUUGGAGAGGUAACGGCUCACCAAGUCGAUGAUGGGUAGCCGUCCUGAGAGGGUGAUCGGCCACAAGGGGACUGAGAGACGGCCCUUACUACUACGGGAGGCAGCAGUGGGGAAUAUCUGAUAAUGGACCAAGAGUCUGAUACAGUAAUUAUGUGUGUACGAUGAAGUUUUUCGGAAUGUAAAGUGAUUUCAGUUGAGAAGAAAAAAAUGACGGUACCAACAGAAGAAGAUACGGCUAAGUACGUG